rnacentral:rRNA from 1 species
UACGAAGGGGGCUAGCGUUGUUCGGAAUUACUGGGCGUAAAGCGCGCGCAGGCGGUCUUCCAAGUCAGUGGUGAAAGCCCGGAGCUCAACUCCGGAAAUGCCAUUGAAACUGUGAGACUGGAGUACGAGAGAGGUGAGUGGAAUUCCCAGUGUAGAGGUGAAAUUCGUAGAUAUUGGGAAGAACACCGGUGGCGAAGGCGGCUCACUGGCCCGUAACUGACGCUCAUGCACGACAGCGUGGGGAUCAAACAGG